UAAAUAAAUCAAAAAGGAUACAACGUGAGGAGACAGGCUCUGAACCAAUGACCAGUCACAGCCACACACAAGCGGCUUUCACAUUCCAUGAGCGACUACUCGAUGUACCACACCGCAUCCUAAGACUGGGACAUGACGUUUGCGUUCCUGCGCCGGGAGGGAUUAUAUGAAAUUUCUUGUUGAGGGCUUCCUGCCCUCUUUUGCAGUAUGCAAAGAUUGCACUUGGAUAUAAGAGGGAAACAGAACAAACUUCCUUACCUGCUUCGGGAAAGCUUUUAACAUCUUCAGCUCCGAGGACUUUCACAGGAUGGCCCCACCCCACCCCACGGCAGACAUAUUAAAACAUACCCAAGCCUCCCACUUUCCAUGGAAUUUUUGCAGAUAACGCCGUUGGGAUUGGCCAGGUUUGUUCAGACAACUGCCAGGCAAACUUGGGAGUUUGUGUUGGUGAGGGAAGAGAGUGCGCGGAGAUCAGAGCACAGCUCUGUGAGGAGUCCUCCACCCGGGCCUGAGCCCCAGGGAUCAAGCUCGUCUUUUGCAGACAGCAACUUCACUCACCAAUGGCGUCUUGCUGGCCAUGGAAGAGACUGUGUUAUGAAUUCUAAAUUGCAAAAUAAUGAUCUCUGUAAGCACUUCAUGUUGCAAGUACGUACACUGUCUUUACUUUUCAGGGGUUUUGUUUGUGGAUUACACUGGAGAUGCAAUCCCAGCAUGCUAGACCAGUGCUUUGGAAUGAGCUUCUGCCCCAGCCUGGCUGUUUUGGUUUUUAUUUUUUGAGCCUCCAGGUGGGCACUGGGAACCAAACUCAGGUCCUUUGCAAGAGCAGCAAGUGCUCUUAACUGCACACCAUCUCUCCAACCCCAUUCCUGUGUCCCUGUGUCUUAAGAGCUGAGACCUUGUAGCAGACAGGCUUUGAAGGUGCGUCCACGAGCAAAGCCUGGUGGAUGCUCGGGAGCUGGGGGAUGUGGAAGCCUGAGUAGGAAGGCCCCAUUUCUGCUAACAACGCAGAUCAAAUCUGUCACCAGGCUGGCUUGGUAGACCCUUAGCAUUUCAGCUGAAGGGGCUGCUUCCCUCCCUUCCUCCCACUUCCUCCCUUUUUGUUGGUGGUUGACGGGAGUGAUCCCAGGCCUCCCCCUAGGCAAGCCUUCCACCUUGAGUCAUAUCCACCACCCGAGGCUAAAGCUUUUGUCACACUCAAGAAAACACAAAACAACCUAAUGGCUUUGCCUGCUAAGAGAAUGGAUUGUGAAAUCUAUCCCCCAGCACUUAGGAGCACAUUCAUGGGGCUGGAAAGAUGGCUCAGGGGUUAAGAAUGCUUGCUGCUGCUCCAGAGGUCCAGCGGUCUGUUCCCUGCACCCGUGUCUGGUGGUUCAGAGUUUCUUGUAUCUAACUCUGAGGAAACCAGUGCCUAAAUCUGGCCUCCAAGGGAGCACACCAAAACCAUGUCUUUGGAUGGCCACGUCCUGUCAGCUUUCUGUUACCAUAGUUCUGGAGUUAAUUAAUAUAGAGGGGGACAAGUAUCAUCUCGACUCAGUAUAGUUCUGUCCCCAGCCUGUUGAACCGGUGUGAGGCGGACCAUCAUGGCAGGACGCUUGGUAAAGGGGAGCUGGUUUUCUGCCUGUGGCCAGAAGUGAGUGAGAGAGGGAGGCCAGGGCAGUGACCUCCUCACGGCCCAUACGUCCCUCCUCUCCCCUCCCCACUCCUGAAAUCUAACCUCUCUUCCACCUCUCCUCCGAGCCCACUCCUUAAAGGGUCUUCCACUCCCAGUAGCACCCUGAACCAGGAGUAAGCCUUCAACACACAAACUUUUUGGGAAUAUUCCAGAUCCAACAGUUGACUCCUGGGUCAUGACGGACUCCUUGUAUACAUGGUAUUUAGUAGGAGCCCUUCAGAGACCAUGUGCUGUUGGCUCCGUGGCCGUUACUCUCUCGCUCCAGCUAAUGGAACACACCAGCCUCGGUUCUCCAGGUGAUGCCCAUGGUUUCUGAUAAGCCACAGUGAGAACUUUGCCAAAUCAGCCACAACUGAUCAUGCUCACCCCCUCCACAUCCCCACCUGCCAUGUGCAGAGGUCCAGGCUCCCAGGGAACCUUCCUUCUCAGGCAGCUUCUGUUCUCCCCUGACCUUUGGUCUCUUGUCACAUAGGAGAUACCUAAACAGACUUCUUUUAAUUAUUUUUUUUAAAUCAACAUUCAAAAUAAUCAUUUUCCUUAAGACAUUUUCACAUAUGCUUUAAAAACUGGUACCGCGCCCGCACGGUCUGGAACGACGAGUCUCGGCGGAGGGUGUCCAGGUUGAAUGAAUCCACAGAGCACGAGGUUGAGGUG